rnacentral:rRNA from 1 species
GACGAACGCUGGCGGCGUGCUUAACACAUGCAAGUCGAACGGUAAGGCCCUUCGGGGUACACGAGUGGCGAACGGGUGAGUAACACGUGGGUGAUCUGCCCUGCACUUCGGGAUAAGCCUGGGAAACUGGGUCUAAUACCGGAUAGGACUCCUGCCUGCAUGGGUGGGGGUGGAAAGCUUUUGCGGUGUGGGAUGGGCCCGCGGCCUAUCAGCUUGUUGGUGGGGUGAUGGCCUACCAAGGCGACGACGGGUAGCCGGCCUGAGAGGGUGACCGGCCACACUGGGACUGAGAUACGGCCCAGACGCCUACGGGAGGCAGCAGUGGGGAAUAUUGCACAAUGGGCGCAAGCCUGAUGCAGCGACGCCGCGUGAGGGAUGACGGCCUUCGGGUUGUAAACCUCUUUCAGCACAGACGAAGCGCAAGUGACGGUAUGUGCAGAAGAAGGACCGGCCAACUACUUGCCAGCAGCCGCCGUAA